GCUGAUUUAUUUUAUUAUUGAAUAGUCAUUUUGUAGUUGACAGGUAUGGGUUAGCU
rnacentral:tRNA from 1 species